rnacentral:lncRNA from 1 species
AUGACUCUAACAUCUGGGUUUCAUUCUGAGCUUCUACUUCCCGACCUCCUCAAGCCGAGGAGGGGGCGAUACUUGAUUUGGUCCUGGUUUAGCAAGGCCUGUAAGCAAAAAUGCAAGCAGGGGGCUCUCCAUGUCAUCAACCUUGUGUGUAGCACAGCCAUAGAAAUCUCCUCUUGCCACACGACACACCGCCACCAAAGUUGCUCACGGCCCCUCCUCAACCGGAAGCAUCUCCAGCUCACCUUUCUCAACUUAGAAACCUCCCCCGGCCCUCCGUCCUCACUCGGAGAAUCGAACCAACUCUGCGACGCAAACUCUUGGCAGAGGCUCCCGGGAACCCGGCGGCCCCCCACCCCAUCCCCGCUCCAUCACCCCUUCCCCAACUCCGGCCCCUCCCAAAUCUCCCAGAGGUCCUCCCGGGUACGAGGGCGGCAGGCCGGUCUUCCGCCUCACCUCCCCGCUCUUCCCCUCCGCCGCUCAGCGGNGUCCCACAGGAAGUCCGUGAUGGCGGCGGCACUGCGGCCGGAGUCCCGGCACCCCCGCGGCGACGAAGUGCGGCUCCACCCCCACCGACCCGAACCCUGGGACCUCCCGCCUCGUUCCCGGGCUCCGCUCCAGUCCCGCCCGCCCCGGCUCCGUCCCCGCCCCCAGGGUCCGCUCGGCGCCGCUCGCACCGCCCCCGCCCGGGGCCCGAUCCCAGCUCGGUCUCCGGCUCUGGCCUCUCCGAUCCACCGCCGAUACCGCGAGCGCGCACGCACGCACGCACGCACGCACGUCCGCGCCACUUCCCAGCACCCCCCCCUCCCGGGCGCGCACGCCGCCGCGUCCUCGCGUAGCUCGCGGGCGCGGCCGUGGGAGCCCNGGGGCGGGAGUUCCUGCCGACCGGAGGCUGGGAGGGCGGGAUCCCAGGCGCUGGGUGCUGGGGAACUGGCCGGGCGCGUCCCGCCCCGCCCCGCCGCCUUCGCUCCGCGUGCUCCGUCUAGGCCCUGUUCCGGCGCCGGUGUGGCUGACACUGCGAGCUGGGUCGAGGAGCUGGAGGUGGGGAGCACCUGGAAGUUGUCGUUGGAGCCUCGGCGCUUGGCGGGGGUCUGA